rnacentral:rRNA from 1 species
UACAGAGGGGGCAAGCGUUAUUCGGAAUUAUUGGGCGUAAAGGGCGCGUAGGCGGCUUUGCAAGUGACGGGUGAAAUCCCCGGGCUUAACCUGGGAACUGCAUUUGUGACUGCAUCGCUGGAGUGCGGCAGAGGGGGAUGGAAUUCCGCGUGUAGCAGUGAAAUGCGUAGAUAUGCGGAGGAACACCGAUGGCGAAGGCAAUCCCCUGGGCCUGCACUGACGCUCAUGCACGAAAGCGUGGGGAGCAAACAGG